rnacentral:tRNA from 1 species
GCCUCCGUAGCUCAACGGAUAGAGCAGCGAGCUUCUACCUCGUCGGUUUGCGGGUUCGAAUCCUGCCGGAGGCU